rnacentral:rRNA from 1 species
GGCUCCUUGUAUAACUAAAAAUAAGGAGUCGGACCUGCCCAGUGAAAUUUUUCAACGGCCGCGGUACUCUGACCGUGCAAAGGUAGCAUAAUCAUUUGCCUUAUAAUUGAAGGCUAGUAUGAAUGGUUUGACAAGAAUAUAGCUGUCUCUUUAUAAUUUAUUAAAACUUUAUUUUAAGGUGAAGAAGCCUUAAUACAAUUAAUAGACAAGAAGACCCUAUCGAGCUUAAAAAAAAUUAGUAAAUUUAAUUUAAUAUUUAGUUAAAAAAUGACUUAUCUAAAAUUUUAGUUGGGGCGACUGAGGAACAAAUAAAGCUUCCUUUAAACUAUUUAGGCAUUACGAGCUUUGAUCCAAAAAUUUUGAUUAAAGAAAUUAGUUACCGUAGGGAUAACAGCAUUAUCUUUUUUAAGAGUUCUUAUCGAAAAAGGGGUUUGUGACCUCGAUGUUGGACCAGAAUAUCCUAAAGAUGCAGAAGUCUUUAAGGGUUGGUCUGUUCGACCAUUAAAAUUCU